rnacentral:rRNA from 1 species
AGAUUGAACGCUGGCGGCAGGCCUAACACAUGCAAGUCGAGCGGUAGAGAGGUGCUUGCACCUCUUGAGAGCGGCGGACGGGUGAGUAAUGCCUAGGAAUCUGCCUAGUGGUGGGGGAUAACGUUCGGAAACGGACGCUAAUACCGCAUACGUCCUACGGGAGAAAGCGGGGGACCUUCGGGCCUCGCGCCAUUAGAUGAGCCUAGGUCGGAUUAGCUAGUUGGUGAGGUAAUGGCUCACCAAGGCGACGAUCCGCAACUGGUCUGAGAGGAUGAUCAGUCACACUGGAACUGAGACACGGUCCAGACUCCGUACGGGAGCAGCAGUGGGAAUAGUUGGACAAGUGGGGACGAAAGCCUAGAUCC